rnacentral:snRNA from 1 species
UCAGCUCUCUUUGCCAAUUGGCUUAGAUCAAGUGUAGCACUGUUCUUUUCAGUUUGACCGCUGAAACACCCCUACGGGGGGAAGACUAGUGACACCAGUUUUUGGGCCCAGGCCCUGGAAAGCGCUGAGCUCCGCUCAUCUUCCCGGGGCAAAGUGUCGCCUGUAUUGCACUACUUCAGGCUGACGCGACGGGCA